UACGUAGGGUGCAAGCGUUAUCCGGAAUUAUUGGGCGUAAAGAGCUCGUAGGCGGUCUGUCGCGUCUGCUGUGAAACUGGGGGCUCAACCCCCAGCCUGCAGUGGGUACGGGCAGACUAGAGUGCGGUAGGGGAGAUUGGAACUCCUGGUGUAGCGGUGGAAUGCGCAGAUAUCAGGAAGAACACCGAUGGCGAAGGCAGAUCUCUGGGCCGUAACUGACGCUGAGGAGCGAAAGCAUGGGGAGCGAAACAGG
rnacentral:rRNA from 1 species